UUCUCUGGGAUCUCUGAGAAAAGUUUGAUUUCUGUUCUAUUUAUCACUCUUAUGAAGACCAGAGCAUCUGUGUUAGGAUCCUCCCUUCCUGGUCCUUCAUCAGCUUUUCCUCCGUGUUUCUACAGCCCGGCCACUGAGGAGGGCCAGUUCAGCAGCAGCGGGAGAACUUGAUUAGCGGCUGGCUUUUGCGCAGAAGCUCUUCCCCUGCAGCAUCGAUUGUAGUCGCUUUCACUUUGCAAGCAACAGCUCGGCUGAGAAGGAGCCUCUGCCAGGCAGCAGCCUGCGCAUGGCAGCUGCUUGUAAAAGGAGACAAUCUGUUGUCUGGUCAAGCUUUCAUCUUUGUUAUAAGAGUUGGCUCUCUGCUAGGAAAAGGUAUGUGUGAUAUACUCAGAAAUGAAGUGAUAUUAAAGACAGACAGUAACAAUAAAAAUAAAGGCUGACCAGGUUGAUUUUCUGAACUGACCAAAGGAAGUCUGAAAGAACAUGAAUGGAUUUCUCUAAGCUCUUGGAAAAGGAUCUUCAGAAUUGACCUACCUUUAACAAGCCUAUGCCUUUCAAGUGAAAACUUCUUAGUUGAACUGAACUGUGUGACUAUUUCAUGGCAUUUAAAAGCCAUAUCUUGUGACCUACACAGAAUAUAAACCAUAGAUGUUGUACAACCCAAUACAGAUUGUCCAACUCAUUUCCGCUCACUGUGG